UGACGGGGCCCGCACAAGCGGUGGAGCAUGUGGUUUAAUUCGAAGCAACGCGCAGAACCUUACCAGCCCUUGACAUACCGGUCGCGGACACAGAGAUGUGUCUUUCAGUUCGGCUGGACCGGAUACAGGUGCUGCAUGGCUGUCGUCAGCCCGUGUCGUGAGAUGUUGGGUUAAGUCCCGCAACGAGCGCAACCCUCGCCCUUAGUUGCCAGCAUUUAGUUGGGCACUCUAAGGGGACUGCCGGUGAUAAGCCGAGAGGAAGGUGGGGAUGACGUCAAGUCCUCAUGGCCCUUACGGGCUGGGCUACACACGUGCUACAAUGGUGGUGACAGUGGGCAGCGAGCACGCGAGUGUGAGCUAAUCUCCAAAAGCCAUCUCAGUUCGGAUUGCACUCUGCAACUCGAGUGCAUGAAGUUGGAAUCGCUAGUAAUCGCGGAUCAGAAUGUCACGGUGAAUACGUUCCCGGGCCUU
rnacentral:rRNA from 1 species